rnacentral:rRNA from 1 species
UACGGGGGGGGCAAGCGUUGUUCGGAAUUACUGGGCGUAAAGGGCGCGUAGGCGGUUUGCUAAGUUGGAUGUGAAAACUCUGGGCUUAACCCAGAGCCUGCAUCCAAAACUGGCAAACUUGAGUACUGGAGGGGAAAGCGGAAUUCCUGGUGUAGCGGUGAAAUGCGCAGAUAUCAGGAGGAACACCGGUGGCGAAGGCGGGUCUCUGGGCCGUAACUGACGCUGAGGAGCGAAAGCGUGGGGAGCAAACAGG